UAGGGAAUAUUAGAAAUGGACGAAAGUCUGAUCUAGCAACACCGCGUGUGCGAAGAAGGCCUUCGGGUCGUAAAGCACUUUUUGGAAGGAAUAAGAAGGAAUGUACUUCCAGAAUAAGUCUCGGCUAACUACGUGCCAGCAGCCGCGGUAACACGUAGGAGGCAAACGUUAUCCGGAUUUACUGGGCGUAAAGCGCGUGUAGGUGGUACUGUAAGUAGGGCGUGAAAGCUCCUGGCUCAACUGGGAGAGGCCGUUCUAAACUACAGAACUAGAGGAUGGUAGAGGGAGGUGGAAUUCCAGGUGUAGCGGUGGAAUGCGCAGAUAUAUGGAGGAACACCGGUGGCGAAGGCGGCCUCCUGGACCAUUACUGACACUCAGACGCGAAAGCUAGGGUAGCAAACGG
rnacentral:rRNA from 1 species